GAUGAACGCUGGCGGCGUGCCUAAUACAUGCAAGUCGAACGGGGAGUAUUAAUUUCGAUUUUUACUCCUAGUGGCGAACGGGUGAGUAACGCGUUGGUGACCUGCCCCGAAGAGGGGGACAACAGCUCGAAAGGGCUGCUAAUACCCCAUGUGGUCGUACAGGUUAGAGGCUGAACGACUAAAGGAGCAAUCCACUUCGGGAGGGGCCUGCGUCCCAUCAGCUAGUUGGUAAGGUAACGGCCUACCAAGGCGAAGACGGGUAGGGGGCCUGAGAGGGUGGCCCCCCACACUGGCACUGAAACACGGGCCAGACACCUACGGGUGGCAGCAGUAGGGAAUAUUGCCCAAUGGACGAAAGUCUGAGGCAGCAACGCCGCGUGCGCGAUGAAGGCCUUCGGGUUGUAAAGCGCUUUUCUGGGGGAAGAGGAAGGACGGUACCCCAGGAAUAAGUCUCGGCUAACUACGUG
rnacentral:rRNA from 1 species